rnacentral:rRNA from 1 species
AUUGAACGCUGGCGGCAGGCCUAACACAUGCAAGUCGAGCGGAUGAAGGGAGCUUGCUCCUGGAUUCAGCGGCGGACGGGUGAGUAAUGCCUAGGAAUCUGCCUGGUAGUGGGGGACAACGUUUCGAAAGGAACGCUAAUACCGCAUACGUCCUACGGGAGAAAGCAGGGGACCUUCGGGCCUUGCGCUAUCAGAUGAGCCUAGGUCGGAUUAGCUAGUUGGUGAGGUAAUGGCUCACCAAGGCGACGAUCCGUAACUGGUCGGAGAGGAUGAUCAGUCACACUGGAACUGAGACACGGUCCAGACUCCUACGGGAGGCAGCAGUGGGGAAUAUUGGACAAUGGGCGAAAGCCUGAUCCAGCCAUGCCGCGUGUGAAGAAGGUCUUCGGAUUGUAAAGCACUUUAAGUUGGGAGGAAGGGUUGUAGAUUAAUACUCUGCAAUUUUGACGUUACCGACAGAAUAAGCACCGGCUAACUCUGUGCCAGCCGCCGCAGUAACAC